rnacentral:rRNA from 1 species
GUCUACGGCCAUACCACCCUGAACGCACCCAAUCUUGUCAGCUAUGCAGGGUCAGGCCUAGUUAGUACUCGGAUGGGAGAUUGGGAAUAGCAGGUGCUGUAGGCU